rnacentral:rRNA from 1 species
AAUGAACGUUGGCGGCAUGGAUUAGGCAUGCAAGUCGGGGGAAUCCCAGCAAUGGGGGAACCGGCGUAAGGGGCAGUAAGGCAUGGGUACCUACCUUGGGGUUCGGGAUAGCCAUCAGAGAUGGUGGGUAAUACCGGAUGACGUCGUGAGACCAAAGAUUCAUCGCCCUUAGAGGGGCCCAUGUGAUAUUAGCUAGUUGGUGGGGUAACGGCCCACCAAGGCGAAGAUGUCUAGCGGGUGUGAGAGCACGACCCGCGCCACUCGCACUGAGACACUGGCGAGAUACCUACGGGUGGCUGCAGUCGAGGAUCUUCGGCAAUGAGCGCAAGCUUGACCGAGCGAUGACGCGUGAGCGAUGAAGGCCUUCGGGUUGUAAAGCUCUUUAGUGGGGGAGAAAAGCCGCAAGGUGUGAUCUAUCCCAAAAAUAAGCACGGGAUAAGUUCGUGCCAGCCGCCGCAGUAA